rnacentral:rRNA from 1 species
AGAGUUUGAUCAUGGCUCAGGAUGAACGCUGGCGGCGUGCUUAACACAUGCAAGUCGAACGGAACUCUUUGGAUCAAGGCUUCGGCCGAGUGAAUCUGAGUUUAGUGGCGGACGGGUGAGUAACGCGUGAGGAACCUGCCUUCCAGAGGGGAAUAACAGUUGGAAACGACUGCUAAUACCGCAUAAUGCAUAGAGGCCGCAUGACCUUUAUGCCAAAGAUUUUAUCGCUGGAAGAUGGCCCCGCGUCUGAUUAGCUAGUUGGCGGGGUAACGGCCCACCAAGGCGACGAUCAGUAGCCGGACUGAGAGGUUGGCCGGCCACAUUGGGACUGAGAUACGGCCCAGACUCCUACGGGAGGCAGCAGUGGGGAAUAUUGGGCAAUGGGCGCAAGCCUGACCCAGCAACGCCGCGUGAAGGAAGAAGGUCUUCGGAUUGUAAACUUCUUUUAACAGGGACGAUAAUGACGGUACCUGUUGAAUAAGCUCCGGCUAACUACGUGCCAGCAGCCGCGGUAAUACGUAGGGAGCUAGCGUUAUCCGGAUUUACUGGGUGUAAAGGGCGUGUAGGCGGGGCUGCAAGUCAGAUGUGAAAACUCCGGGCUCAACCCGGAGCCUGCAUUUGAAACUGUAGCUCUUGAGUGAUGGAGAGGCAAGCGGAAUUCCUAGUGUAGCGGUGAAAUGCGUAGAUAUUAGGAGGAACACCAGUGGCGAAGGCGGCUUGCUGGACAUUAACUGACGCUAAGGCGCGAAAGCGUGGGGAGCAAACAGGAUUAGAUACCCUGGUAGUCCACGCCGUACCCG